rnacentral:rRNA from 1 species
UACGAAGGGGACUAGCGUUGUUCGGAAUCACUGGGCGUAAAGCGCACGUAGGCGGAUGUGUCAGUCAGGGGUGAAAUCCCGGGGCUCAACCUCGGAACUGCCUUUGAUACAGCACGUCUCGAGUCCGGAAGAGGUGGGUGGAAUUCCUAGUGUAGAGGUGAAAUUCGUAGAUAUUAGGAAGAACACCGGUGGCGAAGGCGGCCCACUGGUCCGGUACUGACGCUGAGGCGCGAAAGCGUGGGGAGCAAACAGG